CUUAUGAGCAUAACUAACAACAGCAACAUAUUUUAUAUAUAAUGAAUAAAUAUAAAAAUAAGUGUCACAGCGUAUUUGUUUAAACCAAACAAAUAAAAAAAAAUAACGUCCCUUUUACACGUGAUUAUAACAAUAACUGAUAAGACUGUACAUACAACAAUAGCAUUCACACAUACAGGAAAACUAGCAAGUUGUAGCGUCUGAGGUCAACAAAACGAUGUUAUUGAAAGAAUAUUAUUUACACAGCAGAGCCGGCUUUCUUCGGGUUGAGCGUCGAUAAGAAGCAUCAGAGGAAACGCUGCGGCAUUAUCCGGAUAAUCCCGACAACUUGGCCGACAGAGCCACGCCAACUCCUUUGUCAAAUACAGUUCUCGACAAACAACCGAUCAAAAACGAUACCAACGUGACAUAAAUAAAAGACGACUGCCGACUUACCCACAAUACCAACAACUGGAAAGGAUACGUUUUAUUUCAACGAGGAAGAGUGAUACAGCCACAAGCCUCGUAAAUAUUACAGCAGCGAUUGUACCGCGAGUCUCGUAAUCAUUACAGAAAAGUGUACGUACAUAAAAUUAACAUCCAAACAGUUACUUCAGAACCAAUAACCGCCGUAAAAUUUAUAGCGCGCAAAAAUAGCUAAGUGUGGAGCGUGGCGGAUCAGUGUUUAGUGCUUCGUGUUGAACCAUGGCUGCAGGGUUCCUGCUGACGACUACAGUAAACAAGGAUGUCUGGCGCUAAUAAAAGUCUAGUAACAAGCUAUUGUCUGAGUUACGUUCGUUACGCACAACAUACCUGUCGAUGAAGCCGGAUAAAAAUAACUAGACGAGCGUCCGUAGAGUAUUUCUGGACAACGCCUCCUCCUCUCGGCACUACACCUCGUUCUAAUGAUGGAUUUCGUGUUCAGUCGGAAAAGUUCGGCCUUCACUUUGACCGACAACAUUCGGACAAUUUGUACGUACAUUCUCAGAGGGGCGCGUCGCCGCGGCUACCAAGAACAUCGCUUGAGUUUUUUCGACAUCCUCCAAUCGACGUGUUAACUUGUCGAGUGGAGGAGAUGGAGAAAAAAUGUAGAGUCGAGCUGCAUGUGCGGGUUGAAUUUUGAUCGGACGGGAGCAGGCAUGCGUGGCGGGCGGUGCCGAACAUAAAGGGGACACCAGUGUGCGGCGCAUUCGCAAUGCGUUCUCAGAAGCGACGCGUCGCACGCCGGUGCUUAGCAUAAUAGAUAAACUAGACAUUAUUCACUACUGCCUUACAGCAUAAUGUUAGAAACCAAAUUCAUGUAAUAGGCGUACUGAUUAAACCCAUUAAUUCCA